GGUUGCUUCUUACUUUCCCUUUCGAAGCUUUCCCUUUCAACAGCUAGGGUUUCUUUCCCCGUGGCCUUUCGAAAAGCUCGAUCAGAUCACUGUAACUUGAAUCGUGACUUGCGUGUACAACUGGCACAUCAACAACAGAACCUAUUGACUCUUCAAGCACAGUCCUUUGCAGUACAUGCCUCCCCAACCCUUUCUUCAGUUACCUCUCUAUUGACUCCUCCAUCUUCUGCCCAACCAAAUGAGAAACACAAAUCCAGAUCCUCUUUCUUAGGUGGAAAUUGUUUCACUCCAGAGUCUAAGAAAAAAGGGGCUGAUGAAGCAGUUAAAGAGCUUUGCCGGACAGUGAAGGCAUUAGAAGCAAAAAUUGAGAAAAUCAAAAAAAGAUCACACUUCACAACUAAAGAAAAAGGAUGACCUCAUUCGCAAGUUUUCGAGGAAGAAUGAAAAACCAGUGGAAGGACUACAAAGGGAGGGGGCAAAGAAGGUAGUCACAAAGGCCAGUUUGAGGUCAAAGGAGCCAAGCACAGGGGAGUUGAAGAGCCCAAGUCACCGUUUUCGGUCACCAGUCCCAACAGCUAAGAAACGAAGCUUUUGGGACAUAACAACGGCUAACAGUCCUUCAAUUGCUUCAUUAAAUGGAAGGAAAACUAGAAGCCAUGUCAUUUCUGGACCCUUUGCUGUUCCAUCCAUGCUUCUUCAGAAGACAAAUUGUUUGAGGUGAAAGAGAAUAUGAAAAGAGGAAAGAAAUGAAUGACCAAGGUAAUCCUUGCUAUAUUAUCCUGCUUAAGCCUGGUCAGUUCAACAGGGAAGGAGGACAAUUGUAUGAUUGUAGAUGCUUGCUGUCCUUCCGUUCUUGUAUGUGGUCAACACAGAAGCAUAUCAUUAUUAUGUUACUUUUCUUAUAAGCAGCAAGAUUCAUUCGUUCUUUUCGUUUUCUUUUUUACCUUUCAAUGUUAUUUUGUUCCAAUCUCUUAUUGACUAAAAUGUAUUCAGAGAGCAAGUCCUAUUAUUUCUUCUCUCCUUGUAACCUAAGCUUGUUAAUCACUAAGAUACCCUUUAAAUGAUUGAUUUGGUAAACAAAAAGAACCAUGUUUAUGGAAGCCCAUGUUUAUAUAAGGAAUUUGUUAAUAAGAUGCUUGGAGUUAAAUUGGUA